rnacentral:rRNA from 1 species
GACGAACGCUGGCGGCGUGCUUAACACAUGCAAGUCGAACGGAGUGGCGAACGGGUGAGUAUUACGUGAGUAACCUGCCCUCAACUGUGGGAUAAGCCUGGGAAACUGGGUCUAAUACUGCAUAGUUGGGGAUGGGCUCGCGGCCUAUCAGCUCGUGGGUGGGGUAACGGCCUACCAAGGCAAUGAUGCAUAGCCGACCUGAGAGGGUAAUCGGCCACAGUGGGACUGAGACACGGCCCAAACUCCUACGGGAGGCAGCAGUAGGGAAUCUUCCGCAAUGGGCGCAAGUCUGAUGCAGCGACGCCGCGUGGGGGAUGAAGGCUUUCGGGUUGUAAACCUCUUUCGGUACAGAACGGGUAUGUGCAGAAGAAGCGCCGGCUAACUACGUGCCAGCAGCCGCGGUAAUUC